UUUUUCAGGUAACAAUUAUCUUCAUUAUGGAUUCAUCAUGUUUGGUUGGAAUUUUAUUUAAUUGCAAAAAAAUAAUUUUAAUGUCUUAAGCAAAUGUACACCAUAUGAUAUUUUUUUUAUACCACUGUAACAGUAUGCAGAGUGUUCCUCAGUUGGCUAGAAAAGCGCUAUUGCAGCAAGCUCUGUGUGAUCUUUGACCAGCCUUUCUCGCGGCUCAGGCCAAAAGUUCACGCUGGCAUAUACCGUAACCAUUGUGUCUAAAAACCCGCUGUGUGAGUCAUUUCGAAGGGGAACAGUGGAGCCGUGUGGCCAAGUGUGAACCAUUGAACUCUCAUGUCUCACAACUACCCACUCCAGUUCUCAUGAGAAAGUAUGUUACCAACAGUUAGUGAUGCCAGGGUAAUAUUGCCACACGUAUACUUUGAUCAUUUCUGUAAUAAAGAGUCCAGAAUGAGUCGCCCGGGCCGAUCUGUCUCAGCGGCGGGACGCAUCCGUUACAGGCCGAUAAAACUACCGAAACCUAAACGAGGGGUUUCUAUUCAGGAUGUGGAAUCGAGUCCAAUCUGGAACCAGCCCUCCAGGGUUUUUCAUCACUGUUCUAGAUAAAUGUUAAUAAGAUUCAACUAUACUGCCAGUAGAGAAAGGAUGAAGACGAGGAGAUGGAGCAAAAAGAAUCAAUAACGGAUAAUAAAAUAAAAUCACUUGUCAUUCUUGUAUUUUGUGGGGAAAUUUAAUGUGUAAAUAUGCAAGUGAGAGAACAUUUUCUAUUAAAUAAUUUUUGAAUUUA